rnacentral:rRNA from 1 species
AUAGCUGAUUGCACCAACAAAUGGUUGAUGCAAUAUUGACUCUGUCAAAUAAAAUUCUAGGUAGAAUUAUGAUAAUGACAUUGUCUGCCUAUAUGUCUUGACCAAAUUACGUGCCAGCAGUCGCGGUAAUACGUAGAAGACUAGUGUUAUUCAUCUUUAAUAGGUUUAAAGGGUACCUAGACGGUAAAUCAAGCCUUCACAGGGACUAAUUUACUAGAGUUACUUACGAGGGGGUAUUAAAGUACUGCAGGUGUAGAGAUGAAAUUCUGUCAUACCUCUUUUCAAAAGAAAAAUUAUGGCACAGGUAUAGGUGAAAGCAUCCCCUUAUGUGAUAACUGACGUUGAAGGACGAAGGCUUUGUGUCGCGAACAGGAUUAGAUACCCCAGUAGUCAAAGCAGAAAAUGAUGAAUGUCAUAGAUUAGAUAUAUAGUUUAUUCUAUAAAUGAAAAUGUAAGCAUUCCACCUCAAGAGUAAUUUGGCAACAUUGGAACUGAAAUCAUUAGACCGUUUCUGAAACCAGUAGUGAAGUAUGUUGUUUAAUUUGAUGAUCCGCAAAAAACCUUACCACAAUUUGAAUAUUUGUAUCUAUCUUUUUUUCGUAAAGAAAUAAAAAGCUAAUAUAUUUACAAGCGUUGCACGGCUGUCUUCAGUUAAUGUCGCGAGACUUUGGUUAGUUCCAUUUAAUUAACGUAAACCCUUACUUUAUUUUUAUAUGAAGUAGUUCCCCGCUAUAUUGGAUAUGAUAACAGGGACUAGGACAAGUCAUCAUGGCCUUAAUAUUGU